rnacentral:antisense_RNA from 1 species
CUUGAUCGAGCCGAGGUAGAGCGGCUGGUCCUCCGGCCGUCCCUGGCCAUAGGUGGCGAGCAGCGCCUGCGCCUC